UACGUAGGGUGCGAGCGUUAAUCGGAAUUACUGGGCGUAAAGGGUGCGCAGGCGGUUAUACAAGACGGAUGUGAAAUCCCCGGGCUCAACCUGGGAAUGGCAUUCGUGACUGUAUAGCUAGAGUGUGUUAGAGGGGGGUAGAAUUCCACGUGUAGCAGUGAAAUGCGUAGAUAUGUGGAGGAAUACCGAUGGCGAAGGCAGCCCCCUGGGAUAACACUGACGCUCAUGCACGAAAGCGUGGGGAGCAAACAGG
rnacentral:rRNA from 1 species